rnacentral:rRNA from 1 species
AAGAAGGGGCGAUGAAGGAAGCUUAGGGUUAGUGAAAAGGACGGAAGAGAAAGAAAACCUAAAGGAGGAGAGAAGAAUUUAGGGAAUCCGAAGAGGGAAACCUCAGAAAAGAAAACCUGGGGAACUGAAACAUCUAAGUACCCAGAGGAAAAGAAAUCAAGAGAGAUACGUGAAGUAGUGGCGAGCGAACCACGAGAAGUCAAAAGCGAAAAAGCCAGAACAAAGAGGGUAAACGAGCCCCGUAAGGCGAAGAAAGCGAAAGAGAGAGUAGAACAUCAGGGCGAAGUUUGAAGAAAGGGGAACCAAACCUCUAAGACUAAAUAGAAACUAACACCGAUAGAGAACGAGUAACGUGAGUGAAAAGUGAAAAGGAUAGCAAGGCUAAGGUGAAAAAGACCCGGAAAUCAUCGAAACCAGAGCAGUCAGGGAAAGAAUGACGUACCUUUUGUAUAAUGGAUUUGCAAGAGAUAUUAGGUGGGCGAGCGAAAGCGAAGUGAGAACGAAGAAGUCCACGAAUAUGGGACCCGAAACCAAGUGAUCUAUGCAUGAGCAGUUUGAAAGCACCCUAAGAAGGUGAAGGAGGAACGAACUCGUGAUUGUAGCAAUAAUCUGGGAAGACUUGUGCAUAGAGGUGAAAUGCCAAUCGAACUUGGAGAUAGCUGGUUUUCUGCGAAAGCUAUAAAGGUAGCGCGUUUCAAAUAUCUGUAUAGAAGUGUAAGGCACUAGAAGAUUCAAGAGAGUAAAAACCCAAGAAUAGCUAAACAGAGAAAAGGAAUAGACAGACUUAGAGCGAUAAGGUCCUAGGUCGAGAGGGAAACAACCCAGAACCAAAGUUAAGGUCAUGAAGAGGAUCGAAAAGUGUAAGGAAAGUUCUCCGACGAAGACACCUAAGAAGUAGGCUUGGAAACAGCCAGCUAGAAAGAACACGUAACAGUGCAUUAGAAGAGAGGGAGAGCGCCAAAAAUUCAGGUGGCAAAGAUCAGCACCGAAACUAGGAGGAGAGAAGGGGUAGCAGAACAAUUCGUAAAAAAAUCGAAAGAGAAAAUGCAAGUAUGAGUAACGAACAUAAAGAAAAAAGUAUGAACCGAAAAGCCCAAGGAGUAAAAGGAAGCAGCCCCUAAGUCAAGACAUCCGAAAGGAGAGAAACGAUGGGAAAAAAAGAGGGAGAGUAUCGGGAAAAGCCGCUUUUUAAAAAACUGUACCAAUCUGACACAAGUGGGCAAGUAGAGAAUACAAAGGUGAAUGAAGAAGAAUCCUUAAGGAACUCGGCAAAAAGUCUCAAUAAGGGAACGAGAAUGAGACCAGGGAAGGAGCAUAGAAUCGGGAAGGCCGACUGUUUACCAAAAACAUAGCUUUUAGCAAACACGAAAGUGGAAGUAAUAGAAGCGACCCCUGCCCAAUGAUUGUAUCCGAAAUGCAGAUAUGAAAGUAUAGGCAAUAAGGGCAAUUAAAUGGCCGCAGUAACUCUGACUGUGAAAAUGUAGCGCAAUCAAUAGUCAAUUAAUUGUUGACAGGUAUGAAAGGGGGAACGAGUUUUCCACUGUCUCAAGGAUUCAUCGCGUGAAAUUGGAGACGUAGUGAAGAUACUAUGAAAAGAUCGUCACGGGACAAGAAGACCCUGUCAGCUUAACUGUUAAGAUGAUCGGCGAUGGAAGGCAAAGGAGAGUAGUAAGAACUGGGAAAUCUAAAGAGACAAAUGAAAAACCAGGAUCCGGGGCCAAACAAAGCUAAACAUUAUAACAAUAGAAAAUAUGAAAAAUCAUAAGAGACAGUUUGGUUGGGGCGACAGCCUUUUAAAAGGUAACAAAGGUUUACAAAGGUAGACAAAGAAGUGUAAUAGCAAAAGUCUGCUUGACUGUGAGUAGGAUAUUACGAGCAGGGACGAAAGUCGGUUAUAGUGACCAGCUAGAAGGGAAUGGAAAAGCUAGCAAUCAGAAGGGAAGUUACGACAGGGAUAACAGGGUAAUAUCGCCUAAGAGUCCAUAUCGACGGCGAAGUUUGCCACCUCGAUGUUGAAUCAGCGCAGCUCGGGGGUGAAGAAGCUCCCAAGAGUUGGACUGUUCGUCCAUUAAAGCGCUACGUGAUUUGAGUUCAAACCGUUGUAAAACAGGUUGGAUUAUAUCUGUGAUGAGAGAGAAACAAAGAUCAAGAUUUAGAUUGUACGCAAGGACCUCUAAGUCUGUCCCUCUGAUGUACCUGUUGUCGAGAGGCAUAGCAGGGUAGUUACGGACAAACGGAUAAGAGCUGAAAGCAACUGAAGCACGAAGCCGAAGAAAGAAAGUUUCAAGGAUAGCAGGAGACUACUGCGAAGAUAGGCUGUGUGUGAAAGCAGAACAGUACUAAGAAUCCGGGCACUUAAACCCAAAAAAAAGAUAGC